CUUUCGGAGCUGUGCGGCAUUCUGAGCAGGUAUGCAAUUUCCUGAGUAUGUUAUGGCUUCGGGCCUUGGAGGCUGAAGCACUGGAAGCUGGUGGGAUUCCCGGCGCAGCCGGAAUGGCAGUGUGGACCUCUGUGAUGGGACAUCUUGUGGGAUCUCACAGCCAGUUCUGUGGCAAAGGAGGAUGAAGGCUUACGAGGACUCGUCAGGAAGCUGGAUAACAGAGCGAGCGCAAUGUGCUAGAAUAGAAGACCAGAAAAUGAAAUGGUGGAGUUUGAGGCUGGAUAGACAGUUUGAAAGGUACAAAUAAUGGUUUGAAUAAAGAAAGGUAUUAAUGGGUCACCUCAAGUGAAGGCACUGCAAACACAAUGAUUGGUCAUUCUGAAUUUCCGGUCCUUCAUUCUGAAUUUCAAAGGCUCCUGUGACAAGUGGACAUGCAGUGACUGCACCUUUGUUUCUGAGGUGCCUGGAUGGAGGCUCAAAUAGAAGAUGGUGUCAGAUAUAUUGUGUUAAAAUUUUACCAUUAAAGUGUAUUAUAACAUGAA
rnacentral:lncRNA from 1 species